UUUUCCGCCCUCCAAACGGACGGCUCUGAGGCCAGCCCUUCCCGGCUGUAUACAGGGCCCCAGCGCCCCGCCGGCUCGCUUUUCCCUGCUUCCCUGAAAGCAGCCGGGAGCCGCGCGGCUUACUCACCAUAGUGGCUAGGGAUUAGGAGGCGAAGGCGACAGGAGCAGACACCGGGUCCCGGUUACCGUCCCCGACAAGCUAAGAGUCGAGAACAUGGACAAGAUGGCUGGGGUCCUGUGGAGUUCUGGUAAUCUUCUUAUGAUAAUAAAGCAACCUUAUGCCAUAUGAUAUGCUAAGGAUGGAGGAAGAUAGAGUCUAGGUGCCUGAUGACAACAUGGAGCUGUCAAGCCCUGCAUUGCCUCCCCCUGGACGUCUCAUUAUGGGAGAAAAUGAAGCAAUUUGUUUAAGCCACACUGA
rnacentral:antisense_RNA from 1 species